rnacentral:rRNA from 1 species
CAGUAGCCGCGGGAACACGUAGGGUGCAAGCGUUAAUCGGAAUUACUGGGCGUAAAGCGUGCGCAGGCGGCUAUGCAAGACAGAUGUGAAAUCCCCGGGCUCAACCUGGGAACUGUAUUUGUGACUGCAUGGCUAGAGUACGGUAGAGGGGGAUGGAAUUCCGCGUGUAGCAGUGAAAUGCGUAGAUAUACGGAGGAACACCGAUGGCGAAGGCAAUCCCCUGGACCUGUACUGACGCUCAUGCACGAAAGCGUGGGGAGCAAACAGGAUUAGAUACCCCAGUAGUCCCUGUCUCUUAUAA